GAUUAACGCUGGCGGCGUGCAUAACACAUGCAAGUCGAACGAUGAAACUUAACUGAUUUCUUCGGAAUGAUUUUAAGUGGCUUAGUGGCGGACGGGUGAGUAACGCGUGAGUAACCUGCCUUGGAGAAGGGGAUAGCCUUUGGAAACGAAGAAUAAUACCCUAUGAUAUGAUAAUAUCUCAUGAUAUUAUCAUCAAAGAUUUAUCGCUCUAAGAUGGACUUGCGUCUGAUUAGUUAGUUGGUGAGGUAACAGCUCACCAAGGCAGCGAUCAGUAGCCGGCUUGAGAGAGUGUACGGCCACAUUGGGACUGAGACACGGCCCAGACUCCUACGGGAGGCAGCAGUGGGGAAUUUUGCACAAUGGGGGAAACCCUGAUGCAGCGACGCCGCGUGAUUUAGAAGGCCUUCGGGUUGUAAAAAUCCUUUGUAUGGGAAGAAAAUGACAGUACCAUACGAAUAAGGACCGGCUAAUUACGUG
rnacentral:rRNA from 1 species